rnacentral:rRNA from 1 species
AACGAACGCUGGCGGCGUGCUUAACACAUGCAAGUCGAACGCGAAAGGGACUUCGGUCCUGAGUAAAGUGGCGCACGGGUGAGUAACGCGUAGAUAACCUGUCUUCACGUCUGGAAUAAUACGCCGAAAGGGGUACUAAUACCGGAUAUUCUUGCUUUUCAUAAGUUUUGCAAGGAAAGGUGGCCUCUGAAUAUGCUACUGCGCGAAGAGGGGUCUGCGUACCAUUAGCUGGUAGGUGGGGUAAUUGCCUACCUAGGCUACGAUGGUUAGCGGGGCUGAGAGGAUGAUCCGCCACACUGGCACUGGAACACGGGCCAGACUCCUACGGGAGGCAGCAGUGAGGAAUAUUGCGCAAUGGGGGAAACCCUGACGCAGCGACGCCGCGUGAGUGAGGAAGGCCUUCGGGUCGUAAAGCUCUGUCAAAGGGAAAGAAGUGCAUGAUGGCUAAUACCUGUCAUGUUUGACGGUACCCUUAAAGGAAGCACCGGCUAACUCCGUGCCAGCAGCCGCAGUAAUAC